rnacentral:rRNA from 1 species
CCUACGGGAGGCAGCAGUAGGGAAUAUUGCUCAAUGGGGGAAACCCUGAAGCAGCAACGCCGCGUGGAGGAUGAAGGUUUUCGGAUUGUAAACUCCUUUUGUUAGAGAAGAUAAUGACGGUAUCUAACGAAUAAGCACCGGCUAACUCCGUGCCAGCAGCCGCGGUAAUACGGAGGGUGCAAGCGUUACUCGGAAUCACUGGGCGGAAAGAGCGCGUAGGCGGGAUAGCAAGUCAGAUGUGAAAUCCUAUGGCUUAACCAUAGAACUGCAUUUGAAACUGUUAUUCUAGAGUAUGGGAGAGGUAGGUGGAAUUCUUGGUGUAGGGGUAAAAUCCGUAGAGAUCACGAGGAAUACUCAUUGCGAAGGCGACCUGCUAGAACAUAACUGACGCUGAUGCGCGAAAGCGUGGGGAGCAAACAGGAUUAGAUACCCCAGUAGUC